UACAGAGGGUGCAAGCGUUUAAUCGGAAUUACUGGGCGUAAAGCGCAUGUAGGUGGACUGUUAAGUUUGAUGUGAAAGCCCUGGGCUUAACCUGGGAAUGGCGUUGAAGACUGGCAGACUAGAGUCGGACAGAGGGCCGUGGAAUUUCCGGUGUAGCGGUGAAAUGCGUAGAUAUCGGAAGGAACACCAGUGGCGAAAGCGGCUUCCUGGUCCAGCACCGACGUCAGGCACGAAAGCGUGGGGAGCAACAGG
rnacentral:rRNA from 1 species